GGAUGCCUCCCCUACGAGGAAUACUCAUCGCAGGUGGCGGCGGCCGUUGGCAAGGGCUCAUUUGGAAGAGCAGGUGGCGUACAAGGUCGCGUCGAGGUCCAACGACCGGAGUAUCAGCUCCGUAGAGGACGCCGUCCCAGGACUCGAAGAAUUCCAAGAAAGAUCAUUGCUUCAAGGUUGGCAGCGGCCACAACAUAAUUGACAUCAAAACUAGAUCUUGGUCCUACAUAUCCGGUCUUGCUCGUCUAAAGGCUCAGAAGCAGUUGAUCAUUACCUGUCACAGUAUACAAAACACAUAUCUAAUAUUGGGGAAAAUUCAGCUGAUAUGUUCAUAUGUGAAUCAUCCACCCAAUUAGCUAUAAUGCUUUCCAAGGCCAGUACCAUACCAACAUUGGAUCCAAAAGAGCAUGUGGUAACAUCAAAUGCCAAAUUGGACACAUACAUACGGUAUGAAAAUUUACGCAGAAGACAAGGACCCAUCACUCCAGAGUCUAGGAAAGUUGGG